UGGGGAAUCUUAGACAAUGGGCGCAAGCCUGAUCUAGCCAUGCCGCGUGGACGAUGAAGGCCUUAGGGUUGUAAAGUCCUUUCAGCUGGGAAGAUAAUGACGGUACCAGCAGAAGAAGCCCCGGCUAACUCCGUGCCAGCAGCCGCGGUAAUACGGAGGGGGCUAGCGUUGUUCGGAAUUACUGGGCGUAAAGCGCGCGUAGGCGGACCAGAAAGUUGGGGGUGAAAUCCCGGGGCUCAACCUCGGAACUGCCUUCAAAACUCCUGGUCUGGAGUUCGAGAGAGGUGAGUGGAAUUCCGAGUGUAGAGGUGAAAUUCGUAGAUAUUCGGAGGAACACCAGUGGCGAAGGCGGCUCACUGGCUCGAUACUGACGCUGAGGUGCGAAAGCGUGGGGAGCAAACAGG
rnacentral:rRNA from 2 species